CCCUGGUUGAUCCUGCCAGUAGUUAUAUGCUUGUCUCAAAGAUUAAGCCAUGCAUGUCUCAGUGCAAGCCGUAUUAAGGCGAUACCGCGAAUGGCUCAAUAUAUCAGUUUUGGUUCCUUAGAUCUUACUCAGUUACUUGGAUAACUGUGGUAAUUCUAGAGCAAAUACAUGCAAUCAGAACUCUGACCAGUGAUGGGAUGAGUGCUUUUAUUAGAUCAAAACCAAUCGACGGAGGGCCUCGCGUCCGAAGUCGUUAAUUUUGAUGAAUCUGGAUAACUUUUGCCGAUCGCAUGGUCCAGUACCGGCGACGCAUCUUUCAAAUGUCUGCCUUAUCAACUUUCGAUGGUAGUUUCUGCGACUACCAUGGUUGUCACGGGUAACGGGGAAUCAGGGUUCGAUUCCGGAGAGGGAGCCUGAGAAACGGCUACCACAUCCAAGGAAGGCAGCAGGCGCGCAAAUUACCCACUCCCGGCACGGGGAGGUAGUGACAAAAAAUAACGAUACGGGACUCUUACGAGGCCUCGUAAUCGGAAUGAGUACACUUUAAAUAUUUUAACGAGGAACAAUUGGAGGGCAAGUCUGGUGCCAGCAGCCGCGGUAAUUCCAGCUCCAAUAGCGUAUACUAAAAAUUGUUGCGGUUAAAAAGCUCGUAGUUGCAAUUAUGCGCCGCGCUGUCGGUGCACCGCAUCCGCGGUGAUACUGACACGUCUGCGGAGCAGAUCGUCGGUGAGCCGUCGGUCAAACGUCGGUUCAAUAUCAAAAUCCUAAUCGCGGUGCUCUUCAAUGAGUGUCGAGGUGGGCCGACAAUUUUACUUUGAACAAAUUAGAGUGCUCAAAGCGGGCUCAAAAUGCUGCUUGAAUAUUUCGUGCAUGGAAUAAUAGAAUAUGAUCUCGGUUCUAUUUCGUUGGUUUUCAGAACUCCGAGGUAAUGAUUAAUAGGGAUAACUGGGGGCAUUCGUAUUGCGACGUUAGAGGUGAAAUUCUUGGAUCGUCGCAAGACGAACAUCAGCGAAAGCAUUUGCCAAAGGUGUUUUUCAUCAAUCAAGAACGAAAGUUAGAGGUUCGAAGGCGAUUAGAUACCGCCCUAGUUCUAACCGUAAAUAUGUCAUCUAGCGAUCCGCCGACGUUACUACAAUGGCUCGGCGGGCAGCCUCCGGGAACCAAAGAUUUUGGACUCCGGGGGAGUAGUGGUUGCAAAGCUGAACUUAAAGGGCUAUUAAGAUCUUCACUCAGGUUCAUCCUGAUUUGGGAAGCAAAGUCGCCGCUAGCCUGGCUCCAUUCAAGAAGUACCAUGCUAAUUUGUAAUUAACUAUAUGAUGCUAAUGGGUGCUAUUUUAUAUUAGGUACCUACAGCAAGAUUAAUUUUUACUGUCUUGUCGGUCAACUUGGGUCAUAUUAUAAUAUAUACAAUUACAUUAUACAUAAGAUGAUUUACUCUUAAAAAUUGCAUAAUAAAAUUGUUGUACUGAUUACAUGAUAUUGUUGUUUUGUUAUUA
rnacentral:rRNA from 1 species